CACGUAGGGUGCGAGCGUUGUCCGGAAUUAUUGGGCGUAAAGAGCUCGUAGGCGGUGUGUCGCGUCGGCCGUGAAAACCUGGGGGCUUAACUCUGGGCUUGCGGUCGAUACGGGCAUCACUGGAGUUCGGCAGGGGGAGACUGGAAUUCCUGGUGUAGCGGGUGAAAUGCGCAGAUAUCAGGAGGAACACCGGUGGCGAAAGGGCGGGGUCUCUGGGGCCGAUACUGACUGAGGAGCGAAAAGCGUGGGGGGAGCGAAACAGGG
rnacentral:rRNA from 1 species